rnacentral:rRNA from 1 species
GUGGGGAAUAUUGGACAAUGGGCGAAAGCCUGAUCCAGCCAUGCCGCGUGUGUGAAGAAGGUCUUCGGAUUGUAAAGCACUUUAAGUUGGGAGGAAGGGCAGUAAGUUAAUACCUUGCUGUUUUGACGUUACCGACAGAAUAAGCACCGGCUAACUUCGUGCCAGCAGCCGCGGUAAUACGAAGGGUGCAAGCGUUAAUCGGAAUUACUGGGCGUAAAGCGCGCGUAGGUGGGUUUGUAAGUUGGAGGUGAAAUCCCCGGGCUCAACCUGGGAACUGCCUCCAAAACUGCAUGACUAGAGUACGGUAGAGAGUAGUGGAAUUUCCUGUGUAGCGGUGAAAUGCGUAGAUAUAGGAAGGAACACCAGUGGCGAAGGCGACUACCUGGACUGAUACUGACACUGAGGUGCGAAAGCGUGGGGAGCAAACAGGAUUAGAAACCCCAGUAGUCC